UUGUUGGUAAGGUAAAGGCUUACCAAGGCUUCGAUCAGUAGCUGGUCUGAGAGGACGGCCAGCCACACUGGGACUGAGACACGGCCCAGACUCCUACGGGAGGCGGCAGUGGGGAAUUUUGGACAAUGGGGGAAACCCUGAUCCAGCCAUGCCGCGUGAGUGAAGAAGGCCUUCGGGUUGUAAAGCUCUUUCAGCCGGAACGAAACGGUUACGGAUAAUACCCGUGACUACUGACGGUACCGGAAGAAGAAGCACCGGCUAACUACGUGCCAGCAGCCGCGGUAAUACGUAGGGUGCGAGCGUUAAUCGGAAUUACUGGGCGUAAAGCGUGCGCAGGUGGUUUUGUAAGUCAGAUGUGAAAGCCCCGGGCUCAACCUGGGAACUGCGUUUGAAACUACAAGACUAGAGUGUGGCAGAGGGGGGUGGAAUUCCGCGUGUAGCAGUGAAAUGCGUAGAGAUGUGGAGGAACACCGAUGGCGAAGGCAGCCCCCUGGGUUAACACUGACACUCAGGCACGAAAGCAUGGGGAGCAAACAGGAUUAGAUACCCUGGUAGUCCAUGCCCUAAACGAUGUCAACUAGUUGUCGGGCCUUUACGGGCUUGGUAACGUAGCUAACGCGUGAAGUUGACCGCCUGGGGAGUACGAUCGCAAGAUUAAAACUCAAAUGAAUUGACGGGGACCCGCACAAGCGGUGGAUUAUGUGGAUUAAUUCGAUGCAACGCGAAAAACCUUACCUACCCUUGACAUGUAUCGAAGCCCGCAGAAAAGCGGGGGUGCCCGAAAGGGAACGAUAACACAGGUGCUGCAUGGCUGUCGUCAGCUCGUGUCGUGAGAUGUUGGGUUAAGUCCCGCAACGAGCGCAACCCUUGUCAUUAAUUGCCAUCAUUUAGUUGGGCACUUUAAUGAGACUGCCGG
rnacentral:rRNA from 1 species